CAGCAGUGGGGAAUAUUGCACAAUGGGCGCAAGCCUGAUGCAGCCAUGCCGCGUGUAUGAAGAAGGCCUUCGGGUUGUAAAGUACUUUCAGCAGUGAGGAAGUGGGUAUGUUAAUAGCAUAUUCAUUUGACGUUAGCUGCAGAAGAAGCACCGGCUAACUCCGUGCCAGCAGCCGCGGUAAUACGGAGGGUGCGAGCGUUAAUCGGAAUUACUGGGCGUAAAGCGCAUGCAGGUGGUUUGUUAAGUCAGAUGUGAAAGCCCGGGGCUCAACCUCGGAAUUGCAUUUGAAACUGGCAAACUAGAGUACUGUAGAGGGGGUAGAAUUUCAGGUGUAGCGGUGAAAUGCGUAGAGAUCUGAAGGAAUACCGGUGGCGAAGGCGGCCCCCUGGACAGAUACUGACACUCAGAUGCGAAAGCGUGGGGAGCAAACAGGAUUAGAUACCCUGGUAG
rnacentral:rRNA from 1 species